AUGACUUUGAUCUGCGUCCUCAUCUGGACUCUCCUCUGCUGCUGCUUCACAGAGUCCAGAGGCCAGGUCACAGUGACUCAGCCUGGAUCAGUGACUUCUGGUCUGGGAGGAACCGUCACCAUCAACUGUAGAACCAGUCAGAAUGUUUAUUACCACGGCGACUACUUCAGCGGCGACGAAUACCAUUUAUCCUGGUACCAACAGAUAGAUGGAGGAGUUCCUAAACUUCUCAUUUACUGGGCUAAUCGUAGAGCAUCAGGGAUUCCAGGUCGUUUUUCAGGCAGUGGAUCAAACACUGACUUCACUCUGACCAUGAGUGGAGUCCAGAUUGAAGAUGCAGCAGUUUAUUACUGUCAGAGUUAUCAUGAGAUCAACAGUAAGAGUGUGUUCACACAGUGAA